ACCCCAUUGAAGGACAGCAGUGAGUAUCCUCUGGUGUACCGUGUGCUUCACGGACCCUGUGAGAAGAUCUCCAAGAUCUUUAUUAUGGAGACGGAUCUAGGGGAGGAGGUCACACAUGACGUGGCGCAGUACAUUAAUUUUGAGAUGCCAGUCCUGGAUAGCUUUGUAGAGAAACUGAAAGAGGAAGAGGAGAGGGAGAUUUCUAAACUGACCAGAAAGUACAGCGCACUGAAGUCCAUGAUUCGACAGCAGCUGGAGGGCAUCACUGACACUACUGACCGAGUCUGAGUGUGUGUGCGCGCGUGCGUGUUCACAGGACCAUUACACUGUUACAGUGAGAGGAAGUCAAGCGGAUUGUUUGAGCACUGAGACCUUCCUUCAUGUACUACUACAGUUGAACCAUAGCAUGUAUAGCUUUUUCUAGUAAUGAAAACUACAGACAUGUUGAAAGCCUUCUACAGUAGGGAAUGUAAUUUAACCAGCAAUAAGAAUGCAAUACUGCCAUAUCUUGCAUCAAUGUUUGUCACUUUGCAAAUUAACUGUAUUCAUCGAAUUUGUAACUUUUCUACUACUGUAUUGUCUAUGAUUGAAUACUUUCCAUUGA